rnacentral:rRNA from 1 species
UACGGAGGGGGCUAGCGUUGUUCGGAAUUACUGGGCGUAAAGCGCGCGUAGGCGGACCUGCAAGUCGGGGGUGAAAGCCCGAGGCUCAACCUCGGAACUGCCUUCGAUACUGCGGGUCUCGAGUCCGGGAGAGGUGAGUGGAAUUCCUAGUGUAGAGGUGAAAUUCGUAGAUAUUAGGAAGAACACCAGUGGCGAAGGCGGCUCACUGGCCCGGUACUGACGCUGAGGCGCGAAAGCGUGGGGAGCAAAACGG